AAUUAAACAGUAUGUGCAUGUUCUUUUUUUAUUUUAACUGUCAUUAUGUUUUGUUAAGUGUUUGAAUUGCGGCAACAGCACUGAAAAUAAACGAUCGAUAUAUGUAUUUAUUUACUGAUGCAUAACUUGAGCUCUUAGCUCUGUUAUGGCACAGAAGAGCUGCUGUCGUCAGAUAUGAAUGCAGAUAUUCCACAAGACGUGCGUGUUUAGUCUGUUCCUGCAAAUACAAUGACGCUUAUGCGGUAUAGGGUACUUAUUGGACUGUUUAAAUGGCAAAAGUAUUCAUAGGUAAAGUAGAAGGACUAUGGCUAGGUUACAGUUCGGACAUCGUGCAACAGAACCGCGUAUUAUCUCUGAACCUCUCUCUCACUUUCUCCCUCGAUCACUAUCAAGGUCAGUACAGCCGCGGCUUACGAAGGACAAGAGCCGGUAAAGCAGCCUCGGAUGUCAGUGAAAUGUGCGCCAGCUCGGCUCCCAUCUUCACCUGGAAGAAUCGGGGAAAGAAACAGGACUGGAACACUGAGAGGAUGAGUACAUGAUGACAAGCUUUCAUUAUGUUCAUUACUGGGCCUGACAGCUCCCCACGUUCUCAGACCCUUUUGGACAAUUUCGACACCGUGUCCAUCUGGUUCUGAUUAAGUCCCAACUGGCCUGCUUCGCAUCCAGAAUGAAGAGGCGAGACGGCAAGAGAGAAGAAAGAGAGAAAUACGGCAAGGUGGGAAUGAGGAAGAAAUGGCAAGAGCCAAAACGACAACAAAGUGAGAUCGACGGAGAAUGACUGAAAGUCAACCCAUCAAACUAAUGACGGUGGUUAAAAAGAAUAGUUCACUCAAAAAUGAAAAUGUCACCAUUUACUCACCCAUGUCAUUUCCAAACCUGCCUUGUGUUAUUUCUUUGUCAACUGACACAAUUUAUCUUAUUAUUGACUGACAAUCAAACCUUAUUCUGACACAUUAAGUCUGACACCCACAAGAACCAAAUCUCAAGUUUUUCAAAUCUUAUUAAUGCACCAUUUUGAUCUGCACUGAUGGUAAAAUCUAAAUGAACUAGAUAUAUUCAAGUCAAAAAUAUUAUCUAAUAUCACAGAAUCAACCCAAAUACAUGAAUUUACUUCUAAAACUACUUUAUAUAGGUUUAAUUAGGUAGAAAUAUAAAGGAAUAUAAAGGUUGGGAUCAGUAAGAUUGUUGAUGUUUUUUUUGUUUUUUUUUUAUUUAUUCUGCUCAUCAAGGCUGCAUUUAUUUGAUCAAAAUACAGAAGAAAAGAAAAACUGAAAAUUGUGAAAUAUUAUUGCAAUUAAAAAUAGUGGUUUUCUAUUUUAAUAUACUUUAAAAUACACCACCUUUCAAAAAAUUUGGGGUAUUUUUUUUCUUUUCUUUUGAAAGAAAUUAAAACUUUUAUUCAGCAAGGAUGUGUUAAAUUGAUAAACAGUGAUAGUAAAUGCUCAUAUAUGUGUGUGUGUGUGUGUGUGUGUGUGUGUGUAUUAAGCAGCACAACUGUUUCAAACAUUGAUAAUAAAUCAGCAUAUUAGAAUGAUUAAUUAAAUUAA
ensembl:lncRNA